AUGAACGCUGGCGGCGUGCCUCAUACAUGCAAGUCGAGCGAACGGACGAGAAGCUUGCUUCUCUGAUGUUAGCGGCGGACGGGUGAGUAACACGUGGAUAACCUACCUAUAAGACUGGGAUAACUUCGGGAAACCGGAGCUAAUACCGGAUAAUAUUUUGAACCGCAUGGUUCAAAAGUGAAAGACGGUCUUGCUGUCACUUAUAGAUGGAUCCGCGCUGCAUUAGCUAGUUGGUAAGGUAACGGCUUACCAAGGCAACGAUGCAUAGCCGACCUGAGAGGGUGAUCGGCCAAACUGGAACUGAGACACGGUCCAGACUCCUACGGGAGGCAGCAGUAGGGAAUCUUCCGCAAUGGGCGAAAGCCUGACGGAGCAACGCCGCGUGAGUGAUGAAGGUCUUCGGAUCGUAAAACUCUGUUAUUAGGGAAGAACAUAUGUGUAAGUAACUGUGCACAUCUUGACGGUACCUAAUCAGAAAGCCACGGCUAACUACGUG
rnacentral:rRNA from 1 species